AGCUUUGCAACCGCACUCUAAAGCUCAAACCUCUUCAUCACCUCACUGGGAAGCCAUCUUAGAACUUCCACUUAGGAGUCACUAAGUGGAACUUCUCUUGAAAUUCUAGAGUCAGAGACAUACAUUACAAAGUUAACUCUAGUAAAAAUCGCAAGUGUUAGCCCAGCAGGCUUGAGGUGAAGAAGAGAGCCUUCCUGUCCCAGCCCUGUUGCAUGCCCUGGUGCCUGUGGAGUCACUGGUGGGGUGGCAGUUCCGGAAGUUUGAUAAGAGGAGUCAAGGGCUAGUGACCUGGUUGAAAAGUAGAGGAGCUUGAAGCUGAGAGAAUACGGACGAUUCGGCCCCGUGACAUGUUCUUAGCGGGGACGCAAGAAGCCCGAGCCCAGGUCCCAAACACGGCUAUUCGGCUAGCCACUGAGCACCGGAAGCGGAAAACCUAGCCCCAGAAGGACUCCGUGUUCUCCGGAACUACAUUUCCCAGAGGCCGCCGCCCGAAGACAGACAGCAGCGUUAGCCCAUAAAAUGGGAGAAUAUCUCAGGCGCCUAUUCGUUUCAGACGAAUCAUUGAUGACUUUUCUACCAGCUGGCAAACCCCUUCACCUGCCGUCAUGCCCGUCUUCACUCUCCAGGUGCGAGGAUCCCGAGAACAAAGCCCUGGUAGCAUCCUGAGAUCAAGGGCGACACCUGUAGGACAAACUCCUGAUUCAAGCCCAAAUAUCUCCAGGGAACAGAUAUGUCCUCAAAGUUAACACUUCUUUAAAAAUAAUGUUCUUGGCCGGGUGCGCUGGCUCACGCCUGUAAUCCCAGCACUUCGGGAGGCCAAGGCGGGCAGAUCACGAGGACAGGAGAUCGAAACCAUCCUGGCUAACGCGGUGAAACCCCGUCUCUAC
rnacentral:lncRNA from 10 species